GGACUUUAAAAGCAUUUUCAGAGGUCUGCACUACGAAGCGAGUUCAACAUACCCAGGGUAUCUUCUCGUUAUCUGGCUUCACUUAACCUAACAAACGAGAUCUCGCUAAACUGUACUAUGAAGCUGGUCAUCAACUCGGUAAGUCAACCCAGGGUUCCUCUGUCUGGAUGUGAGCGCGUUCACAUGAACGAGGAGGUGUUUGCAGCAUCUGACCAAUCACAGACAUGGACAAGUCCACUGACU